UUCUUUAAAUUUAUAUUGUGCUAGUGCUGUUUUUUUUUAAAUCUUUGUUAGUUUUUGACUUUCAGUUUAAUACUAGAAGAGCUUGUUGAAUUCUAAGAAUACACCCAUACCGUAUGAAAUAUUCUUAAAAACAGUGGCAGAAGCAGAUCUCAAACUAUGAUAAAUUUCAGCAAAUAUUUGUGAUGAUAUAUUUUUCGUAAGAUUUACAACAAUCUUAAUAAUAUUUACACUACAUUCUUAUAGAAAAUAGCGAAAGUUGUAUUUGAAGAAGGUCCAAACAAGCUGCUAAACUGUUAAAAGAAAAAAAGAAAAGAAAAUCCACUAUCUGUAUUGUGUGGCAGUUAAGAGUCGAAAAUUGGGAGAUGAUCCCCUAGCUUUAAUAAUGAAUGCAGCUUUGUGGAGACGAAAGCCUACUCAAACGAUGAUGGAGAAAAUGAGGUGUUAAAUUUAGCUUAUAACCAACACUUACCAUCAAAGGUUGUUGUUAAGCAGUUUAGGAUGCCCACUGGUUCAACAUAGCUACAGGAAGUAAAACAUGAUCGCAGAUGCUUUAGCUAAAUACGGUGCAAGGAUGGACGCUUUUGAUAACUGUAGAUUUUUUGCAACCCCUCCCCCUUUUGUAGCCCAGUUUGUUUGGGUGAAUAUGGAAGGAACUAACCACCUUAGAAGGGUUCCUGUACAUUCUUCUGGACAUAGCCCAACAGUUUUUGUUUUAGAGUCAGAUUGACCUCUUCCUCUGUAGUUAUUUUCCUUCUUGAAUGCACUUCUAGUUAACCAAAAAAAAAAAGAAAUUUAAUAUGUUGAAUAAUCAUUAGAUGGUUUUUAAUGAAUGUACUGUCUUUUGAUA